rnacentral:rRNA from 1 species
AUUAAUACAACUUUCAACAACGGAUCUCUUGGCUCUCGCAUCGAUGAAGAACGCAGCGAAAUGCGAUAAGUAAUGUGAAUUGCAGAAUUCAGUGAAUCAUCGAAUCUUUGAACGCACCUUGCGCUCCUUGGUAUUCCGAGGAGCAUGCCUGUUUGA